GCAUAUCAAUAAGCGGAGGAAAGGGC
rnacentral:rRNA from 3 species